rnacentral:tRNA from 1 species
UAAAAGGUUAGUUUAUAAAGAAUGUUAGUUUGUGGUGCUAAAGGAAAUGUUUUUUAUCUUUUAA